rnacentral:sRNA from 1 species
UAUAUACAUACACAAUCAUGCACACCUACACCUCCCCGAGAUUAACCCGCACCCAAAAUGUGAAAUGCUUAUACUCUUCCUUCCGCUUCUCCUCCACCGGCGUCCCUUCUCCCUCGACGCGAUACGUAAACCUCACUUCCAAAUCAAACUCUACAUCCCCCUCUGCCCUUUCAGAAACCUCCACCUCGAUAGGCACUUUCGACACAUUCUCCCUUUUCUCCACCCCCGCUUCCCGCCGUUUAUCGCGCGUGCUGCCGCCCGCCAGAACACCCAAUCGCCCGCCUUUCCGCCCAAUCCCACUCAUCGUCCCCGAUCCAGUCGUCACACUUGCCGUAUCCUCACUUCCAUCCCCAUCCCCAUCCUCAUCCUCCUCAUCAUCGUCAUACGCCCACGCAUCUUUCGACGCAUUACACGUAAAAUGCGGCGUCGCGAUCCGUAUCUCACACUUUGCCGGCGGUGCAUGUUUAGGCAGAGGAGGUUGAGUCAGUCGGAUUUGGAUAGGAUCGUAAAGCGGGUUGGUAAGCGCGAGUUGAAAAGUGUACGUCUCGCCUGCAACAAGCCGCGCGUUUAGAGCCUCUUCUUCCUCUUUGCCCUUUUCCCCCUCUCGCCACGAGAUGCCCGACAAGGCAGGUCGCGUCCGACGUCGUUCACGUCUCUUCUCCCGCUCCAGCUCGGCAUCGUUCUGCUCAUCCGUAUCCCCACCGGGCACCACCACCCGCCGCCGCCGCCGCCGCCGUCGACCCACCUCCAAGAUGGGAAGGUAGUUGAGCGCUACCAUCUUUAUCUUCAUACGCACACUUUUCGUAUCCGGCUGGAUAAGUAAAUGACGACAGCUAGGCUCAGGACACCGUUUUGUCAGUUUCGUCUUUAACGGGAUCCUCUGCGGUAACGCUGAUCUGCAAAAACCCCCGUUGUCAAUCAAUCAAUCAAAAAAAGGAGAUGCGGUGAAAACCCACUGGGACAUCCGGCCACAUUCCCAGCUCCUACUCCACCGCCUAUCCAACGCAGCCACCCCUUCCCACCCCGCUUCUUCCAACAACCUCAUCGUCUCCACGUCUUCCAUCCCCUUUUCCAACCCCAACUCUCGCCAGUUUGCUUUCGACUCGUACUCUUCCAGCUCAUCCCAGCCCACUUUCUCCCCUCCCGGCGCUUGACCCUGCCCGCGCGGCGGUCUUUUACGUACAGCAAGUCCAUGAACAGGCCGGUUCAACGCCUUGGCCGCCAUCUGCGUAAGAUGCGAAAUGUGGCGUGAAGGCACUCUUGGUCGAUGUGGCGUCGUAGUGGGUGUAGAUGAACAAGUGAUGUACGACUCGAGAUGAUCUUUGAUACUAUCAAACUCUGCCUGUACUUGUUCAGGCUGGGUCCAUGUUUUUUGCAGUUGCACUAUUACCCCAUC